AGUGGGGAAUCUUGCGCAAUGGGCGAAAGCCUGACGCAGCCAUGCCGCGUGUAUGAUGAAGGUCUUAGGAUUGUAAAAUACUUUCACCGGUGAAGAUAAUGACUGUAGCCGGAGAAGAAGCCCCGGCUAACUUCGUGCCAGCAGCCGCGGUAAUACGAAGGGGGCUAGCGUUGCUCGGAAUUACUGGGCGUAAAGGGAGCGUAGGCGGACAUUUAAGUCAGAGGUGAAAUCCCGGAGCUUAACUUCGGAACUGCCUUUGAUACUGGGUGUCUUGAGUGUGAGAGAGGUAUGUGGAACUCCGAGUGUAGAGGUGAAAUUCGUAGAUAUUCGGAAGAACACCAGUGGCGAAGGCGACAUACUGGCUCAUUACUGACGCUGAGGCUCGAAAGCGUGGGGAGCAAACAGGAUUAGAUACCCUGGUAGUCCACGCCGUAAACGAUGAUUGCUAGUUGUCGGGGAGUUUACUUCUCGGUGACGCAGCUAACGCAUUAAGCAAUCCGCC
rnacentral:rRNA from 1 species